ACAGAGGGUGCAAGCGUUAAUCGGAAUGACUGGGCGUAAAGGGUGCGUAGGUGGUUAUUUAAGUUUCAUGUGAAAUCCCCGGGCUCAACCUGGGAACUGCAUGGGAAACUGAGUAGCUAGAGUAGAGUAGAGGUGAGUGGAAUUCCCGGUGUAGCAGUGAAAUGCGUAGAGAUCGGGAGGAACAUCAGUGGCGAAGGCGACUCACUGGACUCAUACUGACACUGAAGCACGAAAGCGUGGGGAGCAAACAGG
rnacentral:rRNA from 1 species